rnacentral:lncRNA from 13 species
AGAUUUUGAUACAUGUGUAUUCUGAGUAAUGAUCAAAUUGGGUUAUUUAGCAUCUCUUCACCUGGUAUAGUUAUGAUAUUUUUGUGUGGUAGCAACAUUCAGAAUAUUUUCUUCUAGCUACUUUGAGACAUAUACAUUUGUGUUAAGGCCAGUCACCCUGCUGUGGAAUAGAAGACCAGCAUUGAUUGCUGUCAUCUGAGGAAAGUUUUUACCCAUUACCGAUUCCUUCCCAGACCCUCUCCAUUUUCCCAGCAACCUCUAGUAACCCCUAUUGAACUUUCUGCUUCUAGGAGGUGAAGAUGUUUUCAGUCUGCAUGCCUGGGAUCGUGUGGAAUGGGACUUUCUCUACCAGGCUCAUUCGUUGGACCUGAUGUUCUCCAGGUUUCUUCAUGUGGCUGCAGAUGGCAGGAUUCCCAGAGCUUAAUGGCUGGAACAUACUCCAUGGUGUAUGUGAACAGCAGUUUCUUCAUCCCUGCAGCUGUGGGUGGACGGGUCAUACACGAUGUCCUCCAAGUUCAACAGUGUGGCUCCAAAUGAUGACAUUUCAUUCCGGUUUUCUAGCUGAAGACGAUUCUAUUUGUGCACAUACACCAGGUAUCCCUUCCUGUGUGGAUGGGCAGGUAAGUCUGUUCUUUGUCUUGGCAAUUGUGAAUAGUGCUGCAGUCCACAUAGGAUGGCAGAUGCCUCUUGUAUGGACUGAUUUCUUUCGUCCUGAAAGUAUACUUAGUAGUAGACUUGUUAGAUGAAGUGGUAGUUGUAGGUUAAACUUUUGGAGGAAGCUCCCACUGGUGUCUGUAGUAUGAAUGCUAAUUAACAUUCUGACCAAAUGAGCUCCUCUGUGGAAAUUGACAGCAGCAUUUGCAUCUCUUUUAAUGUAUUUGAUUGCUUUGAUAACACCCGUAUGAAUUAUAGUGAGAUCAUGUGUGUUGCUUCGAUUUACAUCUUUCUCGUGAUUUGCGAUAUUAUCUAAGUUUUUAAAACUUGUUUUCAACGUUACGUCUUCUUUGCAGAAAUGUCUGUUUAGGUUAUUUGGUCCCAGUUUGCUUAGUUAUUAGUUUCUCUUUUGUGUUUUUGCUAGUAAGUAGCGUUUGUUGCUUAGACAUUUUGAAGAC